rnacentral:lncRNA from 1 species
CCCUCAUCUUUAAGGCAUCUGAUACACCAGUCAAGUCACCAUGCCCUUAUCAAGCUGGAGCUAGUGGUCUUUUUUUGUGAGUUAGGAAUUCAGAAGCAGCUUGGCUGAGUAUUUCUAGCUUCAAGACUCUCAUGAUAUUAUGCUCAGAUUCUCAGCUGAGGCUGUAGUCAUCUAAAGACUUGACUGGGACUGGAGGAUGGACUUCCAAGGUGUCUCACUCACAUCCUUGUCAGGUUAAUGCUUGUUAAUGGUAGGAAGCCAUAGCUCAACAUCAGGUCAGUAUCUCCAUCAGCUGCCUGAAUGUCUUUAUGGCAUGGCAGCUGGCCUCUACCAG